UACAGAGGGUGCUAGCGUUGUCCGGAAUUAUUGGGCGUAAAGAGCUCGUAGGCGGUCUGUUGCGUCCGCUGUGAAAACUCGAGGCUUAACCUCGAGCUGUCGGCGGAAACCAUCUGGCUAGAGUCCGGAAGAGGAGAAUGGAAUUCCCGGUGUAGCGGUGAAAUGCGCAGAUAUCGGGAAGAACACCCGUGGCGAAGGCGGUUCUCUGGGACGGUACUGACGCUGAGACGCGAAAGCGUGGGGAGCGAACAGG
rnacentral:rRNA from 1 species